rnacentral:misc_RNA from 1 species
GAUGAAGAACGUAGCGAAAUGCGAUAAGUAAUGUGAAUUGCAGAAUUCAGUGAAUCAUCGAAUCUUUGAACGCACAUUGCGCCCCCUGGUAUUCCGGGGGGCAUGCCUGUCCGAGCGUCAUUACAACCUCAAGCUCAGCUUGGUGUUGGGCCCCGCCGCCCCGGCGGGCCCUAAAGUCAGUGGCGGUGCCGUCCGGCUCCGAGCGUAGUAAUUCUUCUCGCUCUGGAGGUCCGGUCGUGUGCUCGCCAGCAACCCCCAAUUUUUUUCAGGUUGACCUCGGAUCAGGUAGGGAUACCCGCUGAACUUAAGCAUAUCAAUAAGCGGAGGA